rnacentral:rRNA from 1 species
CGGGAGUAACAACCUGGAAACAGAUGCUAAUACCGGAUAACAACAGAUGAUGCCUAUCAACUGUUUAAAAGAUGGUUCUGCUAUCACUCUUGGAUGGACCUGCGGUGCAUUAGCUAGUUGGUAGGGUAACGGCCUACCAAGGCGAUGAUGCAUAGCCGAGUUGAGAGACUGAUCGGCCACAUUGGGACUGAGACACGGCCCAAACUCCUACGGGGGCAGCAGGG